UACGGGGGGGGCAAGCGUUGUUCGGAAUUACUGGGCGUAAAGGGCUCGUAGGUGGCCAACUAAGUCAGACGUGAAAUCCCCAGGCUCAACUUGGGAACUGCGUCUGAUACUGGAUGGCUUGAAUCCGGGAGAGGGAUGCAGAAUUCCAGGUGUAGCGGUGAAAUGCGUAGAUAUCUGGAGGAAUACCGGUGGCGAAGGCGGCAUCCUGGACCGGAACUGACGCUGAGGAGCGAAAGCGUGGGGAGCGAACAGG
rnacentral:rRNA from 1 species